UGAGGAAUAUUGGUCAAUGGGCGAGAGCCUGAACCAGCCAAGUCGCGUGAAGGAAGACUGCCUUAUGGGUUGUAAACUUCUUUUAUACAGGAAUAAAAAGGCUUACGUGUAGGCCAUUGCAAGUACUGUAUGAAUAAGCAUCGGCUAACUCCGUGCCAGCAGCCGCGGUAAUACGGAGGAUGCGAGCGUUAUCCGGAUUUAUUGGGUUUAAAGGGUGCGCAGGCGGGCUUUUAAGUCAGCGGUGAAAUCUGGACGCUUAACGUCCAAACUGCCGUUGAAACUGGGAGUCUUGAGUAUGGAUGAAGUAGGCGGAAUUCGUUGUGUAGCGGUGACAUGCAUAGAUAUAACGAGGAACUCCGAUUGCGUAGGCAGCUUACUAAGCCAUAACUGACGCUCAUGCACGAAAAGCGUGGGGAUCAAACAGGAUUAGAUACCAUGGUAGUCCACGCCGUAAAACGAUGAUUACUAGUUGUAUGCGAUAUGAUAGUAUGUGACUAAGCGAAAGCGAUAAGUAAUCCACCUGGGGAGUACGCCGGCAACGGUGAAACUCAAAGGAAUUGACGGGGUCAUAGCUGUUUCCUG
rnacentral:rRNA from 1 species